GGCCUCGUAGCUCAGGCGGCUAGAGUGUCGACUAAAACCCUCCUCUUGCUGUCGUGGGUUCGAAUCCCAUCGAGACCA
rnacentral:tRNA from 1 species